rnacentral:rRNA from 1 species
UACGGAGGGUGCAAGCGUUAAUCGGAAUUACUGGGCGUAAAGCGUGCGCAGGCGGUGAUGUAAGACAGAUGUGAAAUCCCCGGGCUCAACCUGGGAACUGCAUUUGUGACUGCAUCGCUGGAGUGCGGCAGAGGGGGAUGGAAUUCCGCGUGUAGCAGUGAAAUGCGUAGAUAUGCGGAGGAACACCGAUGGCGAAGGCAAUCCCCUGGGCCUGCACUGACGCUCAUGCACGAAAG